GCAGACCAUAAAAUAACUCCCUGUAGCACAAAGCCUUCACAUCUGAGAUUUCAUCAACGUACAAUGAACACCAGACUGUUGACAACACUUCUGUUGGUGGGACUGAUGGUGUCCACCACGUUGGCUGUUGCCUGUAAGGUGGGAUGUGCAACGUCACGCAAUAACUGUCAGUUGGGCUGCAAAAACCUUCCCUUCCAGAAGAGGAGAGACUGCAGCAACAGGUGCGAGACCAAAUUUUCGGGUUGCACGAGACGCUGUGAAAACAACAAGCCCACGCCCUGGAAGUCUUAAAUGGUGGAAAUCGUGUCAAAAAAAUUUCCUAAAGCAAUCAAAUGUGUUCGAAAUCUUUCUUAAUAUGAAUAAAGAUUAUGCAAUUUUAUCAC